rnacentral:rRNA from 1 species
AUUGAACGCUGGCGGCAGGCUUAACACAUGCAAGUCGAACGGUAGCAGGAGAAAGCUUGCUUUCUUGCUGACGAGUGGCGGACGGGUGAGUAAUGCUUGGGAAUCUGGCUUAUGGAGGGGGAUAACGACGGGAAACUGUCGCUAAUACCGCGUAAUAUCGAAAGAUUAAAGUGUGGGACCUUCGGGCCACAUGCCAUAGGAUGAGCCCAAGUGGGAUUAGGUAGUUGGUGGGGUAAAGGCCUACCAAGCCUGCGAUCUCUAGCUGGUCUGAGAGGAUGACCAGCCACACUGGAACUGAGACACGGUCCAGACUCCUACGGGAGGCAGCAGUGGGGAAUAUUGCGCAAUGGGGGGAACCCUGACGCAGCCAUGCCGCGUGAAUGAAGAAGGCCUUAGGGUUGUAAAGUUCUUUCGGUAUUGAGGAAGGUUGAUGUGUUAAUAGCACAUCA